rnacentral:rRNA from 1 species
UACAGAGGGGGGCAAGCGUUAUUCGGAAUUAUUGGGCGUAAAGGGCGCGUAGGCGGCUUUGCAAGUGACGGGUGAAAUCCCACGGCUUAACCGUGGAACUGCCUGUCAGACUGCAUGGCUUGAGACCAGGAGAGGUGAGUGGAAUUCCCAGUGUAGCGGUGAAAUGCGUAGAUAUUGGGAGGAACACCAGUGGCGAAGGCGGCUCACUGGACUGGUACUGACGCUGAGGCUACGA